AUCUCUCUACAAAACUCUUUCAGAAGCAGCCUGGGCGGAUCUGACUGCUGAGGCAUUGAUGCCCAGGAGCUGUCUGUGCAGGCAGGUGGGUGGAGGAAGCUGGCGGCCCCUAAGACCCCAGCCCUGGUGAUGCCCACUGUGGGGGCCUUAGGCAGGCCUGGGCUUACAGUCCGUCUCAGCUCAACUUGGACACAUGCCGUCUUUUCUUCAUCCUCCUCUUCUUGAAAGGCUUGUUUAUUCAGCUGGAAAAUAGACGUUUUUCAGCAGAUUUUCUCUAUUCAGAAAUAGACUAAAGCUUCUGCUGGAGUCUGGCAUUAUCCCAGAGAAUGGAGACCCACGGGCCUUCAGCAGUGCACCGCCCUCAGGGAAGUCAUCCAGUUUGGGCAUCCUGACUCGGUUCUCCCACAGUGUCCUUCUCAUCUGCUGUAGCCGAGGUCAGGGAGAAGGCCCUGGGUGGUGUCUGGGCUGAGAGGGUCAAUUGUGCCACCUGCUUCAGACGCCCCAUGGGCUGGCGACUCUUCUGGUCUUUAGUGCUGACACCCACAGGCCUGGCUCACAGUGGGUGCUGGGUCAGGGCUGGUGGAGAACAAUAGUGCUGAGCCAGGACCCGCCCAUGUGUUAGAGAAAGGCAGCAGCUUGGAAACCUGUAGGUGGGUCUUCCAUCCACUAAGUCACCAAGAACUAGGAGCCUGCAGCCAGUUGAGAGGAUUCUUGAGGUGCUCUGCCCCCAGCUGGGGCCCUGAGCCCCCACGAGCCUUCCGCCUGGGGCAUCUGAUGACUCACGUGCACCACAGCACAGCAGCCCAGUGGGCUGGGAGUUGGGAGCUGGAAGAUGAAAGCCACCCACUCUUAUCUGCCUCCGAGGAGUCGCAAUCAAGAGGGAGGAUGCCCCCAUAAGAAAUGCAGAUUCUGUGACCUUCAGAGGCAGCUGGAGAAAGAAAAGAUGGAGGAGAUCACGGCCCAGCAAUUCCAGCCUGGGGCGGGCGCGGGCUCAAUGAUAUCCUUCAGGUCCUAAUCCCCGAGUGUGGCUGUGUGUGACCCGAGUCCCUUCUGCCUGCCAGGAGUGAGGCCACCUGAGGUCGCAGAAAGGACUGGGGAGGAGACAGGCGCAGGGUGAUCCGGAUCCCAUAUUUAAUUGAUGGCUCCUGAGUAGCCUCCUGUGGGUGUCCUGGGACUGUCACCUGCCCUCUUUCAGCCAGGUGGGCUCAAACGUCAGGGGCACCAUCUCUGGUCCAGAUUGGGGUCUCUCUCGGUUCAUUUAUCCAGGAUCUUUUGGCAAAAAGAGAAAGACCAAGGAUUAUCCCCUUUCAGGAGAGCUCAGCCUGCUUUUUCGGGCUCUUCAAGGCCCAUCCAUUCAUGCACGGAGAAAUAACACGAAUGCUGGUGUGGAAAUGAUGCCCGGAUACCUUUCCAAAGGCUCCAUAGCCCACUCUUCCAGUAUCCAUCCUGGUCAUGCAGGCGCUGACCCACAUGUUUCUGGAUUAGGAAGGAAAGCAAAGGCCAGGAGGCGGAGGCUGACCCCUUUAUCUUCUGAUAAACCCGAGAGCAGAACAGCCUCAACAAGGACGAUUACAGCAGGGAAAUGGCAUUCCUGGCCAGUGGACAAGCACCUCCUUUAACCUACAGCUCAGAGCCUCACUUUGACUUGCCUCCUGUGGGGUGCUGGUCAGUAGGGGCUGAAUUCUGGGGUGCUAGGCAUCCCUCCACCAUGCAGGCCCCACAAAAGCAGCCGAGGAGGGAGAGUGCUAGGAAGCAGACAGCCACACAGACCACUGGGCUCCAUCAGGCCUCUCACUGCAGGAAGCACAGGCCAGCAAGGCCAGAGUUAAUUUCUCAGAAUAAUUGCUAAUAAUACAAAUCAACCUUUCUGGGCACUGAGUACACACCAGGCCCUGUGCUAAGCGCUUCUAACCUAAGCGUCACCUCAUUGCCUGCUAAUACCCUCUCUAGGAAAUAGGGACUACUAUAAGUCCUGCCCACAGACAUGAAAACCACAGCUGUGGGUUGACCCUCUCUGCGUCUGUAUCUAAUACUGCACCUGUUUUCUAUGAAAUCAGGACAAUAUGAUUCAUAGGGCAAAAUGAUUAUUUGUUACACAUGGAGAAAAACAAAAGCUCAAAGUAUGUUUUCUGAAGGAGAAACAAAAUCCAGACAUUUUCCAAGCUUCAAGUGUGAAUAUACUUACAUGGAUGAAAGAUUUAAAGAAUAACAAUAAAAAACCCUUAAUGGUAAAAAUUUGUUGACUCAGCAUGUUUCAGAUGUAGCCACGGUGAGCUGGCCUCUUUGGAGACAGCUUUGCUUGUUAAAGAGAAAAGGAUGCAAAGGGCUUGCUUUUUAUCUCAGUUGGUGAAGGUUGGAGCUGAAUGUUUUGAACAAAAGUAAUUGCCUAUGUCUAAAUGUAAAAUCAC
rnacentral:lncRNA from 10 species